AUUCUCCCUCUCUCUCAAAUCCUAAAACUAAAAUCUUUAAAAAAAAAGAAAAAGGGCUUCUAUGCUGCUGCCUCCUGCCGCUGCUUGCUGCCGCCUGUUCUCUCCUUAAUUUCCCACAGUCUGCUAUUUUUAUAGCCAAAAACUAAGUUGAAAUUGGAUAGAAAUCAGAUUCUUAUUGGUGUUUAAAGUUCUCAACCCAUGCCAGCCAUCAGAUGGAGAUCAAACGGCCAAAAUCUAGCCUCAAAACAAUCUAGAUCAAGUCGGCGCCUUCCUAACUGUUGGAUCAAUCUUCAGAUUAAAUUACAACCAUUGGAUUACUUAUAGGAUUGUCCCAAACUCCUUUCAGCCAGAAACUACUAUGGACUGUCUGAUCAAGCCCCUGAUGGAUGUCAGCCAUUUGAUAGUGCACAAGAGAGAGCCACCUGCCCGUGCACCGUGAUAAAGACCAAGGGACACUGUUCCCCUGGACUGCCUGUAGACCCGGUGCGGCGGGGUCUAUGCACCGACUGUGGACCAGCCCCC
rnacentral:lncRNA from 1 species